UACGUAGGGUGCAAGCGUUACUCGGAAUUACUGGGCGUAAAGCGUGCGUAGGUGGUGAGUUAAGUCUGUCGUGAAAGCCCCGGGCUCAACCUGGGAAUGGCGAUGGAUACUGGCUCGCUAGAGUGCGGUAGAGGAGAGUGGAAUUCCCGGUGUAGCAGUGAAAUGCGCAGAUAUCAGGAAGAACACCAAUGGCGAAAGCAGCUCUCUGGGACGGUACUGACGCUGAGACGCGAAAGCGUGGGGAGCGAACAGG
rnacentral:rRNA from 1 species